rnacentral:lncRNA from 1 species
GGGGAGGGGAGCGCAGCGAGGAAGGACAAGGCGCAGCGGCCGCCGCGGUCCCGUGGUGGCCGGGUGCGCGCGUGUGCGUGUCUGUGUGUGCGUUCCGAUGACAAAGCCCCGCCGCCGCCAGCAGGCUCCUGGCUGCCUGAGCACUGGUGGGGGAGGGGAGGGGAGGAGGGGAGCCAGCGCUCGCGAAGGUAGCAGAGAAUCGAAGCUUCCCGGGAGAAAAAGAGUUCAUUCAUAAGCCGGAGGAGGCCUCCUGACCGGGCCAGGUGGAGCCUCCCGAAGCCGACACCUGUGUAUUUUCCUCUUUGAAAAGGGGCGAGCACAUCGAUCAUUACCAUAUUUUAAUUGCCUUUCGCAAAGGUCAUCUCUAAUUACGGGUUGCGAGGAGGGUUGGCCAGGGGUCUGUAGCCCUGCAUUGUGUGCGUGUUGUGUGUGUCUCGCAGCUGAGACAAUGCGCCCAGCUCUUAUCAAAAUGCCAAUCUGAGGGUGUCCGUGCGCGCCUGCGAGGCGGUCACGACACGACGUGCUGGAUCCACGCAGACAGAGCAGGCUGCGUGCACAAUAAAAGCCGAGCAGGCGGCGAAGGGCCGCGCAGACCCACGGGUUUUCUUUUUAGAAACGCUGGUGCGAAGAGACUCGACAAUAAUAACACGCAGCAGGAUUAAAUCAGGGCGGGAAUAAGAAAAUGGAUUUUCGUUUCUCCAACCGCGUGCUGUGUUUAACCCAGCCCAUCCCCCAAGAGCUUUGGGUGCCCACGGUGAAAUCCCCCGCAGGGACAGGUGCAGGGCACAGAGUGGCUUGGGACUCCCUGGUGACAGCCCAGGACAGCCACCUUACUUUAAUACUGAUCUCUCCCUCUAAUUCAGCGGAGUUGUCAGUUACAGUGACGUGGACGCCUUAACGAUGUCUGCUUUAUAGGGAACGAUACCGGCUGGUCAAGAAGGAGAAAGAAAACAUGAAGGGUUUUUUAACUUUUAAAAGUCUGCAUUUCCUUAUUUUCAUCACUUGCGGAAACCCUCGAGGCAGACGCCUAUUUCAACUUUGCCUUAGGGAGAACAGGCAGGAAGGCUGUUGGAGGGUCAGGGGUUCUUAGGGGGAUAUUGGGGAGAUGAGGAGCUGGAAACCAGUGAAGAGCUGUUGUGGGCAGCAGUCACUCUAAACUUGACUUUCUCAAAGGAGCCUGACAUCUCUGAGCACCAUGCUGUUUCUGGGAGCCCCGCCUGGUAGAGCCAGGGGCUGGGGUCAGGAGCCUCGGAGAGUUGGAGGGUUUUGUACGGCUCUGCUUCCUGCCUGCCCCCCACACCUGGCCUCCUGGCCUCACCAGCAGUCUGCUCCGCCUGGAGGAAGGCAGAGCCAGAUGACUGGUCCAACCCCCGAGAGACCGCCUGGCUUUCUCCUCCCCUGUAAUCAAAACCAGAUGCACUUAAGCGCCUUUCAUCAGAGGAAGCCCGAAGCCCUUUAACAGGCUUCAAUAAAAGCCUUGCUAGGGCCUACCAGCCUGCUCAGUGUCCAGGCCCCUGUGCCCAUGUCCCAACUGAAGAAGCCUGGGGCUGCAGGGUCUAGCUUCUCCCAGAGGGGCCCCAGAGGCCAAGGACAUCUGCUGAACCAAGGCAGCCCUCUCCGGGCAAGUAGGAUGCCAGGAUCCCUGCCAUCCUGUUGAUAGGAGGUUGAUAGGAGAAAAGAAUCAGGCUUAGAAGGGAAGCCAGUGGCUAGUACCUAAGGAAGGAUAAGAGGAGUGACCUUGGAGUUCCCACCACGGUGCAGUGGGUUAAGAACCUGGCUGCUGGGAGUUCCCGUCGUGGUGCAGCGCAAAUGAAUCCAGCUAGUAUCGGUGAGGAUCCCAGUUUGAUCCCUGGCCUCGCUCAGUGGGUUAAGGAUCCGGCGUUGCCAUGAGCUGUGGUGUAGGUCGCAGACGAGGCUGGGAUCCUGUGUUGCUGUGGCUGUGGUGUAGGCCAGCAGCCAUAGCUCCUAUUGGACCCCUAGCCUGGGAACCUCCAUAUGCCACAAGUGCAGCCUUAAAAAGCAACAAAAAAAA